UGCCCUUUGUACACACCGCCCGUC
rnacentral:ncRNA from 7 species